GACUUUCCUUAGCAGCAAGUUUCUGGUAAAAUAAUUCAAAGUUGAUAUAUAUUACCCAUAUUUUGAGAACUAUUCACUGUUCUUGCUAUGCACAAUUGCAGAAUUUCUUCCAAACAAAGUUUAUCUUCAGUGGAUGCAAUUUAUAUUUUUACCUUGCAACAAGUCUUUUUAAGUAAUGUAUUAGUAUUUCAUGACCAUAUGCAUUCUAAUUGAUCAAAUUAAGCUUUAAACCAAAAUCUAGAAUGUGCCUAAUAUUCUCCAAUAUUACUCAAAUGCUACACAACUCUCAGGCAAUGAAGAUAACAUAAUACAGGAAAAAAAAAACAACGACAUCAACAACAACAACAACAACACUCCAUCUCAAUAUAAUAUAUAUAACGAGGAUAAAAUAA
rnacentral:misc_RNA from 1 species